GCUAAACGCGAAGAACCUUACCCAGGCUUGACAUCCUGUUAAUCACUCCGAAAGGAGAGAGUGCCUUCGGGCCGCAGUGACAGGUGAUGCAUGGCCGUCGUCAGCUCGUGUCGUGAGAUGUUUGGUUAAGUCCAUCAACGAGCGCAACCCUUAUGAGUAGUUGUAUUUCUCUACUCAGACUGCCCUGGUAACAGGGAGGAAGGAGGGGAUGAUGUCAGGUCAGUAUCUCCCUUACGUCUGGGGCUACAAACACGCUACAAUGGCCGGUACAAAGGGCAGCCAACCCGCGAGGGGGAGCAAAUCCCAUCAAAGCCGGUCUCAGUUCGGAUUGUAGGCUGAAACUCGCCUGCAUGAAGCUGGAAUCGCUAGUAAUCGCGCAUCAGCAUUGUCGCGGUGAAUACGUUCCCGGGUCUUGUACACACCG
rnacentral:rRNA from 1 species